rnacentral:tRNA from 1 species
GAGGUUGUGGCUCAGCGGUAGAGCGCUUGCCUAGCAUGUGCGAUGCCCUGGGUUCAAUCCUCAGCACCACA